CUGAGCCUUGAGACUCUUUGUCAGAAUCACACUUGUUAAUCAAACAAGUGUUUCUAGGCCACACAUGGUUCCCCUCAUGGAGCACCUCAUUAGUCUGCUUUCUGCUGCUAUGACAAAAUACCUGAGGAUGGAUACUUUGCAAAGAAAAAAGGGUUAUUAACUCAUAGUUCUGGAGGUUCAAGAGCAUGGUCGUGGCUUUGUGGGGGGGGGCUUCUUGUCUUCAUCACAACACGGGUGUCAUCAUGCUGGGAGUGUGCAUGAGGGAGAGACCACAUCACAUGAAAAGACAGGAAGCCAGAGAUUAGGGAAGGGCCAGGCUAGCUCUCUUACAAAGACUUAUUUUCAUGGGAACCAGCUUGCUCUGUGAGAUCAGGAACCAUGUCUUCCACCAGCAAUUCCCUCAAUGUCCUAAUUUCUCCCACUCAACCCUUUCCUAGCUCUCCAGCCUCGGUGAAAGCUGCACAAUUCUAACAUCAUGAAGUUGACUGUGCUGCCAAAAAUUUUGCCUUCCAGAGAUGCACACAAGGAGAACGCUGUGUUCAGAUAAAGACCAAGAUCUGCCAAGACUUCUUCAAAGCAAGGAUGUCACGAAACAUUGUCAGCAACCACCAGAAGCUAGGAGGCAGGACAAAGAUCUUCCCUUACCACCCUCAGGAGGAACUAGCCCUGCCAAUGCCCCACUUCAGGCUUCUGGCUUCCAGACUGUGAGAC
rnacentral:lncRNA from 1 species